rnacentral:rRNA from 1 species
GAUGAACGCUGGCGGCGUGCCUAAUACAUGCAAGUCGAGCGAACGGACGAGAAGCUUGCUUUUCUGAUGUUAGCGGCGGACGGGUGAGUAACACGUGGAUAACCUACCUAUAAGACUGGGAUAACUUCGGGAAACCGGAGCUAAUACCGGAUAAUAUUUUGAACCGCAUGGUUCAACAGUGAAAGACGGUCUUGCUGUCACUUAUAGAUGGAUCCGCGCUGCAUUAGCUAGUUGGUAAGGUAACGGCUUACCAAGGCAACGAUGCAUAGCCGACCUGAGAGGGUGAUCGGCCACACUGGAACGGAGACACGGUCCAGACUCCUACGGGAGGCAGCAGUAGGGAAUCUUCCGCAAUGGGCGAAAGCCUGACGGAGCAACGCCGCGUGAGUGAUGAAGGUCUUCGGAUCGUAAAACUCUGUUAUUAGGGAAGAACAUAUGUGUAAGUAACUGUGCACAUCUUGACGGUACCUAAUCAGAAAGCAACGGCUAACUACGUG